rnacentral:rRNA from 1 species
GCCAUACCGCGUGGGUGAAGAAGGCCUUCGGGUUGUAAAGCCCUUUUGUUGGGAAAGAAAAGCAGUCGAUUAAUACUCGGUUGUUCUGACGGUACCCAAAGAAUAACCACCGGCUAACUUCGUGCCAUCAGCCGCGGUAAUACUAAGGGUGCAAGCGUUACUCGGAAUUACUGGGCGUAAAGCGUGCGUAAGUGGUUGUUUAAGUCUGUUGUGAAAGCCCUGGGCUCAACCUGGGAAUUGCAAUGGAUACUGGGCGACUACAGUGUGGUAAAGGGUAGUGGAAUUCCCGGUGUAGCAAUGAAAUGCGUAAAGAUCGGGAGGAACAUCCAUGGCGAAGGCAACUACCUGGACCAACACUGACACUGAGGCACAAAAGCGUGGGGAGCAAACACGAUUAAAUACCCUGGUAGUCCACCCCCUAAACUAUGCGAACUGGAUGUUGGGUGCAAUUUGGCACGCACUAUCGAAGCUAACGCGUUAAGUUCUCCGCCUGGGGAGUACUGUCGCAAGACUGAAACUCAAAGGAAUUGACUGGGGCCCGCACAAGCGGUGGAGUAUGUGGUUUAAUUCCAUGCAACGCGAAUAACCUUACCUGGACUUGACAUGUCUAGAACUUUCC